AGCGCGCACCAAAGAAAGAAAGAGAACGAAUCUGAGUUUUAUACAAACUCUCCCACUGACUCACGGCAACUAAAAAUGUCGAGUACAAAUUAUUCACGAAUUUUAGAUAGAUUUCUGCGUCGCCUCACAAGUCUCGGAUAGUUUGUGCGCGCAACCUUCAUUGCUCGACCCUGAACACGAAAGACUAGCCCAGCCAAAUUGGUAGAGAUUAAAGAAUAUUUCUCUUUUGUUUUCGGUUGUAUGAUUGUAGUGUUGCGUCCUGUGUGUAGCUAAAUGUUAAUAAUGUUACUUAAGAACUACAGUUUUGUAGAGGAUGAUUCUAAAAAAAUUUAAAUAUAUUACAGGAGGAUGUAAAAAAUAAAUGUAGCAUUGUUUCAUAAAAUAAAAUUAGUUAAUUUGUUGCUUGAUUGACACAUUAGAUGGUUAAAUUGGCUCCACUGAUACAGUAUUCUAAAGCCCUCAAACUAU